rnacentral:rRNA from 1 species
CAGUAGCCACGGGAAUACGGAGGGUGCAAGCGUUAAUCGGAAUUACUGGGCGUAAAGCGCACGCAGGCGGUCUGACAAGUCAGAUGUGAAAUCCCCGGGCUUAACCUGGGAACUGCAUUUGAAACUGUCAGGCUGGAGUCUUGUAGAGGGGGGUGGAAUUCCAGGUGUAGCGGUGAAAUGCGUAGAGAUCUGGAGGAAUACCGGUGGCGAAGGCGGCCCCCUGGACAAAGACUGACGCUCAGGUGCAAAAGCGUGGGGAGCAAACAGGAUUAGAUACCCCAGUAGUCCCUGUCUCUUAUAC